GACAACAUCUGGAUUGCUCCUGGAACACGUGUGAUGUACCUCGGAGCUGCCUUUAGAACAACCGUGUCUCAUGUGUCUGACAUUGUUGGACCGACUGGGUUGGUGUAUGCCGUUGAGUUCUCUCACCGGAGUGGUAGGGAUCUUGUCAACAUGGCCAAGAAGAGGACCAAUGUCAUCCCCAUCACUGAGGAUGCUAGGCACCCGGCAAAGUAACGGAUGCUGGUCG